rnacentral:rRNA from 1 species
AGUCAACAUGCCCAGGGGACGUGGAUAACCUCGGGAAACUGAGGAUAAACCGCGAUAGGUCAUCACUUCUGGAAUGGGUAAUGACUUAAAUCUACAUGGCCCCUGGAUUGGACUGCGGCCGAUCAGGCUGUUGGUGAGGUAAUGGCCCACCAAACCUGUAGCCGGUACGGGCUCUGAGAGGAGGAGCCCGGAGAUGGGCACUGAGACAAGGGCCCAGGCCCUAUGGGGCGCAGCAGGCGCGAAACCUCUGCAAUAGGCGAAAGCUUGACAGGGUUACUCUGAGUGAUUUCCGUUAAGGAGAUCUUUUGGCACCUCUAAAAAUGGUGCAGAAUAAUGGGUGGGCAAGUCUGGUGUCAGCCGCCGCGGUAAUACCAGCACCCCGAGUGGUCGGGACGUUUAUUGGGCCUAAAGCAUCCGUAGCCGGUUCUACAAGUCUUCCGUUAAAUCCACCUGCUUAACAGAUGGGCUGCGGAAGAUACUAUAGAGCUAGGAGGCGGGAGAGGCAAGCGGCACUCGAUGGGUAGGGGUAAAAUCCGUUGAUCCAUUGAAGACCACCAGUGGCGAAGGCGGCUUGCCAGAACGCGCUCGACGGUGAGGGAUGAAAGCUGGGGGAGCAAACCGGAUUAGAUACCCGGGUAGUCCCAGCUGUAAACGAUGCAGACUCGGUGAUGAGUUGGCUUAUUGCUAACUCAGUGCCGCAGGAAAGCCGUUAAGUUUGCCGCCUGGGGAGUACGGUCGCAAGACUGAAACUUAA